rnacentral:rRNA from 1 species
UACGUAGGGUGCAAGCGUUAAUCGGAAUUACUGGGCGUAAAGCGUGCGCAGGCGGUUCGCUAAGACCGAUGUGAAAUCCCCGGGCUUAACCUGGGAACUGCAUUGGUGACUGGCGGGCUAGAGUAUGGCAGAGGGGGGUCGAAUUCCACGUGUAGCAGUGAAAUGCGUAGAGAUGUGGAGGAAUACCGAUGGCGAAGGCAGCCCCCUGGGUCGACACUGACGCUCAGGCACGAAAGCGUGGGGAGCAAACAGG